AACCUUCAGAUCCCUUACGCUUCACAUCUGAACAUAGGUCUGAGUGUUUAAAAAGGAGGAAAAGUGAAACUCAAGUGGCUCUGUAGUCUUCAGUGACAAACAAGUUCAUUUCAAACAUAC
rnacentral:snoRNA from 1 species